rnacentral:rRNA from 1 species
AGUUUGAUCCUGGCUCAGGACGAACUUUGGCGGCGUGCCUAAUACAUGCAAGUCGAGCGGACCGAUGGGAGCUUGCUCCCUUAGGUCAGCGGCGGACGGGUGAGUAACACGUGGGUAACCUGCCUGUAAGACUGGGAUAACUCCGGGAAACCGGGGCUAAUACCGGAUGCUUGAUUGAACCGCAUGGUUCAAUCAUAAAAGGUGGCUUUCAGCUACCACUUACAGAUGGACCCGCGGCGCAUUAGCUAGUUGGUGAGGUAACGGCUCACCAAGGCGACGAUGCGUAGUCGACCUGAGAGGGUGAUCGGCCACACUGGGACUGAGACACGGCCCAAACUCCUACGGGAGGCAGCAGUAGGGAAUCUUCCGCAAUGGACAAAAGUCUGACGGAGCAACCCGCGUGAGUGAUGAAGGUUUUCGGAUCGAAAAACUCUGUUGUUAGGGAAAACAAGUUCCGUUCGAAUAGGGCGGUACCUUGACGGUCCUAACCAUGAAAGCCACGGUUAACUACGUGCCAGCAGCCGCGGUAAUACGUAGGUGCAAGCGUUGUCCGGAAUUAUUGGGCGUAAAGCGCGCGCAGGCGGUUUCUUAAGUCUGAUGUGAAAGCCCCCGGCUCAACCGGGGNGGGUCAUUGGAAACUGGGGAACUUGAGUGCAGAAGAGGAGAGUGGAAUUCCACGUGUAGCGGUGAAAUGCGUAGAGAUGGGAGGAA